UAGUGAUAUCGCGAUUCUCAGGUUUUUUCAUUAUAACACGAUAAAUACAGAAAUUUCGAAGUAAUUGUUUGGUGGCCAUUGUUUAUUUUUCUAUAUGGACGAACAGCAAAAGCUCUUAAGUUUCAAAUGUAGCCAACAGAUUUCCACAGGCCAUAGGGGAUGGAAAUAUCACAGAACUGUUGGAUCAGUUCUCAUAGUAUUAGCUGUCUUCUGAUGAACUACCCAGUUUUGACCAGGCAAUAGCAACAUAUAUUGUAUAGUUUGUUGGGAGCAAUGGCAGAGAUCAAAGAUGGCAUUUUAGAUGGCAAAAAAACAUUAUGACACUCUUUCAAAGCUUCAUGAAGCUAUUUUAGUUCAGCCAAACAUCAAUUCUGACUGUGAGAGAUCAUUUUCAAUUAUAAAGAAAUUUACACUGAAUUCUGAUCAGAACUCGACAAUGAUAUAUUGUGUGCCUUGUUAUCAAGUAAAUGUAACCAAACCAGCAGGUGUUUCGACUAUGUGCCUAGUGGUGUUGCAUUAAAGGCAGCAAAACAGACCACUGUUGAAUACAAUAAAAGUUUACAGUUGAA